CGGACGGGUGAGUAACGCGUGAGAAUCUGCCUCGGGAGGGGGACAACAGCUGGAAACGGCUGCUAAUACCCCACAUGCCGCGAGGUGAAAUGAAUUUCGCCUGAGGAUGAGCUCGCGUCUGAUUAGCUAGUUGGUGAGGUAAUGGCUCACCAAGGCAUCGAUCAGUAGCUGGUCUGAGAGGAUGAUCAGCCACACUGGGACUGAAACACGGCCCAGACUCCUACGGGAGGCAGCAGUGGGGAAUUUUCCGCAAUGGGCGAAAGCCUGACGGAGCAACGCCGCGUGAGGGAUGAAGGCCUCUGGGCUGUAAACCUCUUUUAUCAAGGAAGAAGAUCUGACGGUACUUGAUGAAUAAGCCACGGCUAAUUCCGUGCCAGCAGCCGCGGUAAUACGGGAGUGGCAAGCGUUAUCCGGAAUUAUUGGGCGUAAAGCGUCCGCAGGCGGCCCUUCAAGUCUGCUGUUAAAAAGUGGAGCUUAACUCCAUCAUGGCAGUGGAAACUGUUGGGCUUGAGUGUGGUAGGGGCAGAGGGAAUUCCCGGUGUAGCGGUGAAAUGCGUAGAUAUCGGGAAGAACACCAUUGGCGAAGCGCUCUGCUGGCCAUCACUGACGCUCAUGGACAAAGCCAGGGGAGCGAAUGGGAUUAUAUACCCAGUAGUC
rnacentral:rRNA from 1 species